rnacentral:lncRNA from 1 species
CUCUGCUCAGCCUAAGAUGGUACAGAAGCUUAAAUCAUCUGGCUGCCACUUUGAGUCUUAGUUCUUUGUGGAAACUUCCCUGCAUAGAGACCAUGGAAAAGACUCAGAGAGGUAUUCUCAAGUAUUUAAGAUUAUACCACUGGAUUGGGUAAAGAUUUCCAAAACACUAAAGAAGAAACAUGAAUUCAUAAAGCUGCAAAUACAGCAUCAAGCAAAACAAGAAUUAAUUCCAUGGGACUGAAUGAACUGAUAAGAAUAAUUCUAAUGUGUAUGGCCCUUUUGUUUGAAACAUUACUGGUUCCUUAAUGUUUUUCCAUAUUUAAGAAACCCUUUUUCUCUGUUUUCUUAAGCUAUCUAUAACUUACAGUAACUUGGUAAAGUAUACCUUUGUGAACAAAGAUGAAAAGAUAAAACAUUUACUUUUUUUGAGACAGGGUCUCACUCUAUCAUCUGGGCUGGAGUGCAGUGGUGCGAUCACAGCUCACUGCUUCCUUGAACUCCUGGGCUCAAGCAAUCCCCCAACCUCAGCUUCCCAAGUAGCUGGGACUAUAAAUGUGCAUCACCAUGCCCAGCUAUUUUUUUUUUUUUUAAGAGAUGAGAGUUUCACUGUGUUGCCCAGGCUGAAGUGAUCCUCCAGUGAAGUGAUCCUCCAGUUUCAGCCUCCCAAAGUGCUGGGAUUACAGAUGUGAGCCACCAUGCCCCGCCAGAAACAUUCACUUUUUCUCCCCACCCGAUCCUUCCAGAAUUCGGAAAUCUUUAUUGAAUAUUCUUAUUUUCAUGGUGAUGUAUUUACAUAUGUUCAGUAAGAAUCUCUUGUCCUUAUAACAGAAUGCAAUUUGAAAUAUUACUUAUAUUAGCAAGGCUUUCACUGGAAUAUCAUAUUUUAGGAUGAUGCACAUAAAAUCAGAUAACAUCAGACAGUUUUAAGGAACUGUCAGAAGCACUUGAACAAGAGCAACUCCAUCUUGAAUAGGGGCUGAGUAAAAUGAGGCUGAGACCUACUGGGCUGCAUUCUCAGAUGGUUAGGCAUUCUAAGUCACAGAAUGAGAUAGGAGGUCGGCACAAGACACAGGUCAUAAAGACCUUCCUGAUAAAAACAAGUUGCAGUAAAGAAGCCGGCCAAAACUCACCAAAACCAAGAUGGUGAUGAGAGUGGCCUCUGGGUGUCCUCACUGCUACACUCCCACCAGCACCAUGACAGUUUACAGAUGCCAUGGCAACGUCAGGAAGUUACACUGUAUGGUCUGUAAAGGGGAGGCAUGAAUAACCCAUCCCUUGUUGAGCAUAUCAUCAAGAAAUAACCAGCAGUGCUGGCGCUGAUCUGUCUAUGGAGUAGCCAUUCUUUCAUUCCUUUACUUUCUUAAUAAACUUACUUUCACUGUAAUCUAUGAACUCGCCCCAAAUUCUUUCUUGCUUGAGAUCUAUGAACCCAUUCUGGGGGUCUAGAUCAGGACCCCUUUCUGGUAACAAAACUAAUGCUGACUUUAUGAAGCCAGUGCUUAAAAAGCCCCUUGAAAUAUUGGCCUGGUACCUGAUUAACAGGGUUCCCAACCUAACAGGUGAGUAAAAAAGGUCACUUCUUGGUAGGCCCAGGAAGCUGAAAAUAUUUUGGGGACCUCAAGAAAAAAGGAAUUCACCCAAAUCUGUAGGUAUUGCUGGUGAAGGCUGAUGGAUUGGUUUCCAGCUUUGAUAGGCUUUAACAGUCUAACCUGAAAUUCCUUAUUAAAAGUUGCAACAAAGCAGACUCAAAAAGAGCUUACAUUGUCAAUCAUUAUUCUUGCUAUUUUUAUGUAAUAAUCAGGCCAAGGUCAAUGAGAUUGACUUAUUUUGCAACAAAAAUAGUGUUACUUUGAUUAUCUUUCAUAGAAAUAGGGGUGAUUGUAGAGAGAACUAUGCUGUUUCAAUUGAAAACUAUAGCACACCCUUGUGGAUUGUCAAAUUCUAGCCGUGUUCACUGCCUUUCAGCUUUUUUAACCUCUCUGUAAACUGACUCCUGCUGUGUUUUGCAUUUUGUCAGUAAUUAACAUUUCUGAUUUUAAUCUCACCUGAUUUGGCACCACUGAGAACUAAAACCUGACUGCCUAGAUCCGUAUUGACACUACCCAGAAAAAGCCCUGCAAGCUGAAACUGGGCCCUUCCGUGCUCUGCUCUGAGAAAUAACCAUAACUGUCACAUUGUAUAUGCCAUUCCCAGAGACAUUCAAACCACAAACCCAGAAACACUUCAGACUGCCACGGCCCGUCCUCCUUCUAUCACCUAGAGAUGCGUUGAGCCCAACAUUCAGAAAUCUUCUCAACUGAUUGCCCUCUGGCCUCAGAAACUGGGUUUAUAAACAGUUCUAUCUAUUAACCUUGGUUUUCUUUUGUUUCCAUAGAAAGGUCCUCAUUAAAUGUCUUACAGCACCAUAUAGAGACCUAACCGGUGGGCACCCUAUUCCCUCUGGCAACACAAUCUCUUGAGAUACAACUUUCUGAGUAAACUGAACUCUUAUACACUGUUGGUAGGAAUGUAAGCUAUUCCCAGGACUGAGAGACUGGUUCAGUGAGAUGGGGCAAUGUGUUUAAAUUUGUCCUUUUCUGCUUACUCACUCUCGUUCCAAUCUGUUUUCCUUCCCUUUGCAGAUCUCUUAUCUUGCAACACCUAAUCCGAAUCUCUCUCAACAGCUACAAACUUGGCUUUUGAUGUAUGAAACGUCCUGAGAAAAAGAAAGUUUCAAAGGGUGGGAUAAAGGGUUCCAGAAUAUGCCACCCAAUAUAUGGAUUAUUUUGAGCUAAAAGCAACUGAGAACCAACAGACACAGGAAAGGCUCUUUCUGUCCCCUAACUGCCUAAAAGCAGAAUAUAAAUUUCCCCUUUUGUAAAGGAAAUUUAUAUUUAUAAAGUAAAUUUCUCUUGGUGAAGAUUCCUCUGUACCAGAAAGAGAGCUAGGCCUGGGGAUAACCCAUCACCUGAGACACUCUUACCUGCAUAACCCUUAUUUACAUACACGUAUACAUUUCCUGCCUUACUUUCUCAGGACUUGUCUUCUCUACUCAGAAGCCCCAAACCCCUUUCCCUUUGUUUAGUCUGAGAUGCUAUAUAAGCUUCAAUCAUCUGGGUCUCCUUGAGUCUUUUCUUUGUGAUACUCCCACGUGUAUGUAUGCACAUAAUUAAUCUGUUUUUUUCCUCUUGUUAAUCUAUGUUUUGUUAGUUUAAUUUCCAGGGCCUCAGCCAUAGAAUCUAUUGGGUAGAAGGAGAAAAAGUUAUUUGUCUCCCCUAGAAGCCAAAAUGCAGUCCUAGCCAUAGCAAUCAAGCAAGAGAAAGAAAA